UAGUCCUACGGGACGCAGCAGUGGGGAAUAUUGCACAAUGGGGGGAACCCUGAUGCAGCGACGCCGCGUGAGUGAAGAAGUAUCUCGGUACGUAAAGCUCUAUCAGCAGGGAAGAAAAUGACGGUACCUGACUAAGAAGCCCCGGCUAACUACGUGCCAGCAGCCGCGGUAAUACGUAGGGAGCAAGCGUUAUCCGGAUUUAUUGGGUGUAAAGGGUGCGUAGACGGGAAAUUAAGUUAGUUGUGAAAUCCCUCGGCUUAACUGAGGAACUGCAACUAAAACUGAUUUUCUUGAGUACUGGAGAG
rnacentral:rRNA from 1 species